rnacentral:rRNA from 1 species
GACGUAGGGGGCCAGCGUUGCUCGGAAUUACUGGGCGUAAAGGGUCCGUAGGCGGUGCGGUAAGUCGGGAGUGAAAUCUCUGGGCUUAACUCAGAGGCUGCUUCCGAAACUACCGUGCUAGAGUGCGAGAGAGGCAAGUGGAAUUCCUGGUGUAGCGGUGGAAUGCGCAGAUAUCAGGAAGAACACCCGUGGCGAAGGCGGCUCUCUGGAACGCAACUGACGCUGAGACGCGAAAGCGUGGGGAGCAAACAGG